AACGAACACUAGCGGUGUGGAUUAGGCAUGCAAGUCGUGCGCGAAAGUCUUCGGACGAGUAAAGCGGCGAAAGGGUGAGUAACACGUAACCGACGUACCCCUUAGAUCGGAAUAACCUCUGGAAACGGUGGGUAAUGCCGAAUGGUUCGCCGGCAGGCAUCUGUCGGACGAUAAACGGCGGCGUAAGCUGCCGCUUAGGGAGCGGGUUGCGGCCUAUCAGCUUGUUGGUGGGGUAACGGCCUACCAAGGCGAUGACGGGUAGCGGGUCUGAGAGGAUGGUCCGUCACACUGGGACUGAGACACUGCCCAG
rnacentral:rRNA from 1 species